UCCCUUGAGGACUAGUGGUUAGGCCUCGGCACUCUCACUGUUGCGGCCCGAGUUCGACCCCUGGCCAGGGAG
rnacentral:tRNA from 1 species